UGGAUGGAAGGCGCAGGAGAACAUGGGAAUGGAGGUAAAGGAGAGAGAAAUUAAGAAGAAACACCCUCAUGAAAUGAUACAUUUAAACGUACAUUGAUUACCUAUAGAAAAGAGCGGCCUUUAUGAGGCCUGGAGGACCACACCAACACCCAAGUCAGCGGACGCACAGUUAACCUUCCACAGAAAGAAAAAUGGAUCCUUAUUUCUCUUCAAGUGUCUCUGGCAACAAGCAGGAUGCUGGGCACAUGAUACCCUGUGAAAUGCUCAUUGGAAUCACACGACAGGACACUGUUAAUCGCAGGCUGAGACUUGAAGAUCCUUCAUUCUUUGAACAGCACCACGCAUGAAAUAUAGAGUUGGAAAAUGUGCAAAGCAAGAACAUAAUAUGACUUUUCUUGGGAUAGAUAUGAACGGGGCAAGACAACUAAGUGAGAGAAGCAAUUUUUCUAUAGGCAGGAACUCGCAUUUGUACACACGAUGGUCUCAGAAGUUUAAUAGCAUUGGAGUCUAAGCAUCCUCUAUAAAUCUUAGUAUUUUUUGUCAAAACAAUAGAAACCAUUCUUUCCUAAUGGAUCACUAUAAACUGUGUGUGUGAAUUUAAAAAAUGAAGAAAAUAAUUAUUUUCUGCUAAAGAAUUUUAAGAAGUGGAUAAUUUUGGUGCAGAAAAUUCAACUUGAUUAAAGCCUCUAUAUUUCACUCUUUGAUUACCCAGACUUCCAUUUACUUUGAAGGCAUAUUUUUCAAGAUAGGAGGAAAGAAGAUAUUUCAUUUGACUGUUCAUUAGCUUGAUUUAAAGCUUAUAAAUAUUUAGACCAGUAGUGUUCAGGCCUCUGUCUGCACUGUUGAACCAGACCACACCGCUGUUAGGGGAGGGCCUGCCCUCCUGUAUCCACAAAUCAACCUAGAAAUCCUCAGUUUCUUUACUUUCUCUCCCAUGCACAUGGCAGACGGUAAAGAUUUCUUUGCCUGUGAAACACCUCUUGAUGUUCACGCAUUUCACUGCCUUUCACCCUAAUGUAAGGCUGGCCAGGAGGGGUUUCUCCUUCGGAAUUUCCUUAUGCAAGGAAGGAAGGCUUUCUGGGGCCUCCAUAUCGGGUCUCUUCUAGGCUCUGGGAGGUUAUACAAGUCAAACAG